rnacentral:SRP_RNA from 2 species
GGCUAGGACAAUGAGGACCUUGUGAAUGGUGUCAGGUCUGGAAGGAAGCAGCACUAAGCAGGCGUCUUCAUGUGUCUGAUACAUA